rnacentral:hammerhead_ribozyme from 1 species
GCACUACUGACGAGUUCCGAAUAGGACGAAACAGCUGUCCAGUGC